CGAGGGGCAUCGGGGCGAGGAGCAAUCCUUGCCGCCGGCGACCGGCGCACUGGUGAGUAACGCGUAUGCGACCUGCCCGUUGCAGGGGGAUAAUCGGGAGAAAUCCCGUCUAAUACCGCGUAACGCCGCGGGGCUGCAUGGCCCUGCGGCCAAAGGAAGCGAUUCCGGCAACGGAUGGGCAUGCGUGACAUUAGCUAGUUGGCGGGGCAACGGCCCACCAAGGCGACGAUGUCUAGGGGUUCUGAGAGGAAGGUCCCCCACACUGGUACUGAGACACGGACCAGACUCCUACGGGAGGCAGCAGUGAGGAAUAUUGGUCAAUGGGCGCGAGCCUGAACCAGCCAAGUCGCGUGAGGGAUGACGGCCCUACGGGUUGUAAACCUCUUUUGUCGGGGAGCAAAUUCCGCCACGUGUGGCGGAGUCGAGAGUACCCGAAGAAAAAGCAUCGGCUAACUCCGUGCCAGCAGCCGCGGUAAUACGGAGGAUGCGAGCGUUAUCCGGAUUUAUUGGGUUUAAAGGGUGCGUAGGCGGACUGUCAAGUCAGCGGUAAAAUACGGGGGCUCAACCUCCGCCCGCCGUUGAAACUGACGGUCUUGAGUGGGCGAGAAGUAUGCGGAAUGCGUGGUGUAGCGGUGAAAUGCAUAGAUAUCACGCAGAACUCCGAUUGCGAAGGCAGCAUACCGGCGCCCAACUGACGCUGAAGCACGAAAGCGUGGGUAUCGAACAGGAUUAGAUACCCUGGUAGU
rnacentral:rRNA from 1 species